rnacentral:lncRNA from 1 species
AAAUUUCAAAAGCUUGAAGAGAGAAGUUGUAGCACAUACCAAACAAAUGAGGCGAUUUAGAACGGGAUGGACACCGUUUAUACGGUUGCCCGCCCUGCUAUUGGAAGGUGACGAAAGCCGGAGUCCGUCCUUCUCAUCCAGGGUCACCGACCGGCUGGGUCCGCCUGGUCCUUUCUCAUAGAAUUGUGUCCUGAUUGAGCUCAUAGGGAGGGCAGUUAGCGCCCUCCUUUACCGGCGCCCGGACAUAGCCUAGAAGUAGAAUAGAUUACUGGAAGGACUUCGGUUUUCACGGAGUCCUUCCUUCUCAUCCAGGGUCACCGACCGGCUGGGUCGGCCUGGUCCUUUCUCAUAGAAUUGUGUCCUGAUUGAGCUCAUGGGGAGGGCAGUUAGCGCCCUCCUUUUCCGGCACCCGGACAUAGCCUAGAAGUAGAAUAGACUACUGGAAGGACUCCGGUUCUCACGGGGUCCUUCCUUCUCAUCCAAGGUCACCGACCGGCUGGGCCGCCUGGUCCUUUCUCAUAGAAUUGUGUCCUGAUUGAGCUCGUAGGGAGGGCAGUUAGCGCCCUCCUUUUCCGGCGCCCGGACUUAGCCUAGGACUAGAAUAGAUUACGGGAAGGACUCCGAUUCUCGCGGAGUCUUUCCUUUGGGUCAUUUCGUCAGGUCGUUAGUAUUAGCAACCACACAUUUGAAAUUUCUAGUAAAAAAUAUAUUUUGGUAAACAGGAAUGAAAAUGGAAAUAUCAAAAUCAGAAAUGCAUCACAUAAAAAUUCCUAAAUAUAGAUGUUCAUUUAC